rnacentral:rRNA from 1 species
UAUUCGCCAGAGUACUACUAGCAACAGCUUAAAACUCAAAGGACUUGGCGGUGCUUUAUAUCCUUCUAGAGGAGCCUGUUCUAUAAUCGAUAAACCCCGAUAAACCUCACCAAUUCUUGCUAAUACAGUCUAUAUACCGCCAUCUUCAGCAAACA